UCACGAAACCCGGAGACCUGAGUGGAAACCACCAGUCACGCUUAACCAACUGAGCCACCCAGGACUGCUGAAAGGGCAGCCUGGGUGAGACGCAUGGUUGGCCGGAGGAUGACAGGCAGCCCCACUGUUUGCUCAGAAGGGUGGACCAGCGAGGUGGAUCAAGAAUCAGGCGAGCCUCUCUGGACCCCACCUGGGCCCCUAGGCAUGUCACCUACACACAGGUACACAUGAUUCUUCUAGAGAGCAUGUUGGGGGUGAAUUCUGUCAAUGUGUAGGUGACAUGUAUCAUUAACACACCAAAGUGGGAAGGGGGCACUUAGGGAUUUCCUAGUCUAAUCGAUUUGUUUUACAGAAAGAAACAGAGACUUGAAGGGAGGUGAGUUAUAAGUGGCAAAGCCAGGGCUAGAUCCCAAGUUUCUUGUCCCUUGGUACUCUAGGAGUAGAGUAGUGCUGAGGUCCCACUGGGGUCUAGGUGAGAAAUGCCCUUACAAUGGGGCAUGAGUUCUCAAGUGGUGCCAGCUCCUACCUCUGAGUCUGCUUUGAAGGAAGGAGUUGCAUAUCCACCACUACCCCCAACCGAAGUAGUGUGUUUAUGGGGCAGAGGAUAUGAUCUUGGGAAGAGAAGACAGAAGUGACAAAGAUGGAAUAACUUACUCUGUUUGAACAGUAAAGAGCAAAAGGAACCUGGAUGCAGAAGGGGAGGGCCCAUCGAGGGUCCUUCUUCCUUGACAGGGAGGGACUGGCUUGGAAGAUCAGGCUGUCUUGCGUUGUAGCAAGAGGAAGAUUCUUGGGGCCCACAGCGUGCUCGAGAACAAUCAUCAAGUGUCCAAACAGAGCCUUAGCUUCCGGAACAGGCUUGGUCCUGUCCAGAUAGGCGUCGGCAGCCUCCACUUCCUCAUGGGUAACUCGCUUCAGCUGUCCCAACAGAGCCGAGCACCUGCUGCCCGGCGUAGACUUGUCCCCCACCCCAACCUGCCUGACGGGCGCAGGGGCAGCUAACAUUUACCCAGGCCCUGCCCUAGGAAGUGAGGGAGAUAACACCGGUCUCCCCUCUUCUCUUCCCCAUUCCUCUUCCGGCCCCACCCCACCACUACCCUCCCACCCCGCCAGUCCUCAAAACGGGGCCUGCCUAAAGACACCUGGUGGUUGCUAUGAGGAGGCCGGAAGGGCUAAGCGAGGCCAAACUCCGUGUGUAACCAGAGAAGAAUCAGACUCACAGGCACACAGCUUUAUCAUAAAAGUGAAAAUAAUAUGAAAAUGGUUUUUUUUUAUUUCUAAGUACAAAGCCAGAUACUAUUAAGACUGUGAAAAACUGGCCAGAGGCCGUGAAGGACAAGAAGAAGACUUUCUUUGGCCUGGUGCCCUGUGACCCAGCGCACUGCUGUCGGGGAGUGGCGUGGGGCGGGGGACAACAGCAGAAGACGGGCUGGUUGUGGAGUGCGGGAGGAAGGCCCCAUCGGCGGGACCGCUCUCUGCUCCUCAGAGCCUCCAGAACUGGGAACUGAGGUUACUCUUGGCCUUUAAGGGCCACUGGUUCUCUGGCCUAGCGGGCCCCAGGAAUGAAGAGGGGCAGGGGUGAGGCACAUGGGAGUGGGUGAGGGAGGAAGCAUGAGCCUUUCUGCACUGGGUUUAUUCCCUGGCUGCAAGUGAGUGUUUCAGGCAGCAGCUGGGAAUGAAGCAAGGUGCUCUGGC